UAACGGCGAGUGAAGCGGCAAUAGCUCAAAUUUGAAAGCUGGCCUUCUGGUCCGCAUUGUAAUUUGUAGAGGAUGCUUUUAGGCAGCCGCCGGUCUAAGUUCCUUGGAACAGGACGUCAUAGAGGGUGAGAAUCCCGUAUGUGACCGGCUCAGGCACCUUCUGUAAAGCUCCUUCGACGAGUCGAGUUGUUUGGGAAUGCAGCUCUAAAUGGGAGGUAAAUUUCUUCUAAAGCUAAAUACUGGCGAGAGACCGAUAGCGCACAAGUAGAGUGAUCGAAAGAUGAAAAGCACUUUGGAAAGAGAGUUAAAAAGCACGUGAAAUUGUUGAAAGGGAAGCGCUUGCAAUCAGACUUGGCCUAGAGUGUUCAACCGGUCUUCUGACCGGCCUAUUCAUUCUGGGCCAGGCCAGCAUCAGUUUUGGCGGCCGGAUAAAGGCCUUGGGAAUGUGGCUUUCUCUUCGGGGGAAGUGUUAUAGCCCAGGGUGUAAUACGGCCAGCCGGGACUGAGGUCCGCGCUUCGGCUAGGAUGCUGGCGUAAUGGUUGUAAGCGGCCCGUCUUGAAACACGGACCAAGGAGUCUAACAUCUAUGCGAGUGUUAGGGUGUCAAACCCUUACGCGUAAUGAAAGUGAACGGAGGUGGGAACCCGCAAGGGUGCACCAUCGACCGAUCCUGAUGUCUUCGGAUGGAUUUGAGUAAGAGCAUAGCUGUUGGGACCCGAAAGAUGGUGAACUAUGCCUGAAUAGGGUGAAGCCAGAGGAAACUCUGGUGGAGGCUCGCAGCGGUUCUGACGUGCAAAUCGAUCGUCAAAUUUGGGUAUAGGGGCGAAAGACUAAUCGAACCAU
rnacentral:rRNA from 1 species